UACAUGGGGUGCAAACGUUGCUCGGAAUCAUUGGGCGUAAAGCGCGCGUAGGCGGUUACUUACGUCGGGUGUGAAAUCCCCCGGCUUAACCUGGGAACUGCGUCUGAUACUGGACGGCUUGAGUAUGGGAGAGGGAUGUAGAAUUCCAGGUGUAGCGGUGAAAUGCGUAGAUAUCUGGAGGAAUACCGGUGGCGAAGGCGGCAUCCUGGACCAUUACUGACGCUGAGGCGCGAAAGCUAGGGGAGCAAACGGG
rnacentral:rRNA from 1 species